GACGAACGCUGGCGGCGUGCCUAAUACAUGCCAGUAGAACGCUGAGGGAGGAGCUUGCUUCUCUGGACGAGUUCCGAACGGGUGAGUGACGCGUAGGUAACCUGCCUGGUAGCGGGGGGGAACUAUUCGAAACGAUAGCUAAUACCGCAUAAGAGUAGAUGUUGCAUGACAUUUGCUUAAAAGAUGCAAUUUCACCACUACCAGAUGAACCUGCGUUGUAUUAGCUAGUUGGUGGGGUAACGGCUCACCAAAGCGACGAUACUUAGCCGGCCCGGGAGGGGGGUCGGCCACAAUUGGACUGGGACCACGCCCAAGCUCCUACGGGAGGCAGCAGGAGGGGAUCUUCGGCAAUUGGGCGAAGUCUGACCGAGCAACGGCGGGUGAGGGAAGAAGGUUCUCGGAUCGUAAAGAUCUGUUUUAAGGGAAGAACGAGUGUGAGAGUGGAAAGUGCACACUGUGACGGUAUCUUACCAGAAAGGGACGGCUAACUACGUG
rnacentral:rRNA from 1 species